GGGCCCGCACAAGCGGUGGAGUAUGUGGUUUAAUUCGAUGCAACGCGAAGAACCUUACCAGCCCUUGACAUGUUCGUCGCGACUUUAAGAGAUUAAAGUUUUCGGUUCGGCCGGACGAAACACAGGUGCUGCAUGGCUGUCGUCAGCUCGUGUCGUGAGAUGUUGGGUUAAGUCCCGCAACGAGCGCAACCCUCACUUUUAGUUGCCAUCAUUAAGUUGGGCACUCUGAAAGAACUGCCAGUGAUAAGCUGGAGGAAGGUGGGGAUGACGUCAAGUCCUCAUGGCCCUUACGUGUUGGGCUACACACGUGCUACAAUGGUAUCUACAACAGGAAGCAAGACUGCGAAGUUAAGCAAAUCCUUAAAAGAUACCUCAGUUCGGAUUGCACUCUGCAACUCGAGUGCAUGAAGCUGGAAUUACUAGUAAUCGU
rnacentral:rRNA from 1 species